UGCUAAGGAGCCGCAGUGAUGUUGACGCGGCUGGUCCUCAGUGCACACCUGAGUAGCACGACCUCUCCGCCCUGGACGCACGCUGCCAUCAGCUGGGAGCUGGACAACGUGCUGAUGCCUAGUCCCAGAAUCUGGCCCCAGGUGACUCCAACAGGCAGGUCUGCCUCUGCCAGGAGUGAGGGUAACACCUCCUCACUCUGGAAUUUCUCAGCUGGGCAGGAUGUGCAUGCCAUAGUAACCAGAACUUGUGAGUCUGUGCUGAGCUCUGCCGCCUACACCCAUGGCUGUGGCUGUGUGAGGUCUGCCACAAACAUUACCUGUCAGUCCUCAGGACAACAAAGGCAGGAGGCCCGGCAGGAAGAGGAGAACUCAAUCUGCAAGGCCCAUGAUAGUAGAGAGGGCCGCCUGGGCUACCUCCUCAGUGCCCAUCAGCCUGGUUCCCAUGGUCCUAACUAG